ACAGGAUCAUGUAGACAGUAAAGUGGUGGUGGGCAGCCUGGUCUUACUCAUGGUCCAAGAGAGGAAGCUUUUCAGGUUUUCAUCACUGGGUGUUUUCAUCACAGCUGAGGACUCCACCGGCAUGAGACACCUAUGAGGGGUAGUGUCCCCAAUGGACUGGGGAGAGAGGACAGACAAAGACACCCUCUGCUGAAGACCGGCCAUGACUUGUGCUGUGGGUCUGGGUGGCUUCAUCCUGUGUCCCCUGACAACUGAUGGAGAAAAAUGUGAUUCACUAUUGUGCUACUGGCCAUCUUGGCACGCCCCCCCCUACCCAAACCCACUCCUCCCAUGGAUGCUGACCUUCCCUACAGAAUGAAGCAACUCUUUAUUGUCAAGACACUGAACACUGCUGGGUGGGGUGCGGAGGGGACGAGGGGGUGACUGCAGAGAGACAGGUUUAGCUGGGGCUGCAGUGGGCCGGGGCAGGGGAUGAAGGGGGGACUCAUGGGUGGCAUGAGUGACAGCAUGCCUUGGCCACACACAAGAGGCUCCUGGGGACAUUUUGUGUCUUCUGGGGGCUCCUUCUCUGUGUGUGCUCCUUCACCAGGUCAGUAAGACAGGACCCAGGGGUGUGGGCACAGCAUCCAUGGUGAUGCAAGGAAAUUGGGUUUUCUGGAAAGUGACCCAAAGACAAGGCCUUUGAUUCUCAGGGGUCCUGGACCACCUGCUGAGCUGGUGGCAAUGUCUCUCUCUGCACCACUGAUUGACUCCCAUUUCAACACCCUCGAGUCCUUUGAAAGAUCACAAAAGUUCCAGCUGGCUUGCACCCUUACACACUUGUCCUCCAAUCCCUGAACCAAGUGUGGAGACACACUUUUUUUUUUUUUUUUUGUGACUUAAUAUUGACUUACAGAAUUGUAAGACAACAGGGGUAUAAUUCCACACCGUCCCCACCACCAGAGCUCUGUGUCCCCAUUCCCUCCCUUGGAAACUGCAGUGGUUCUCCCAAGGGCACAGAUAAAAGUUGACUAUGAUUUCUAUAACUAUAUUUUUAUAUAGUUGUCUAUUUUUUCAUAGCCAUGCUUUCUCUUCCUAAGUCACACCUACACUUUUACUACUUCUUCCUCUUCCUUUUCUCCUCCUCCUUCUCCUCUUUCUUCUCCUUCUUCUUCCCUCAAGGGUUAUCGCUGGGAUUUGGUGCCCACACUAUGAAUCCACUGCUCCUGGAGGCUAUAUUUUUCCUUUUGUUGCCCUUGUUUUAUCAUUGUUGUUGUGGCUGUCACUGUUGUUGGAUAGGACAGAGAGAAAUCGAUAGAGGAGGGGAAGACAGAGAGGGGGAGAGAAAGACAGACCUGCUUGACUGCCUGUGAAGCAAUGCCCCCUCCCUGCAGGUGGGGAGCCAGGGGCUUGAACCGGGAUCCUUACAGUGGCCCUUGUGCUUCACACCAUGUGUGCUUACCCCACUGCACCAUCACCCAGCCCCCACACCUACACCUCUUACUACUUCUGAGUGUCCUUUCUUUUUGUCCUCUUCUCUCUCUGGGUCCUGAUGGAACUGGAGUCAGAGCCCUCUGGUCAUCUUCCCCUAGGUAUUUCUCCUCCUCUGGGAGUAUAGACCAGAAUUCUUUAUGGGGUGCAGAAGGUGGGAGGGCUAGCUUUUGUAAUUGCUUCUCUGAUGGACAUGGGUGUUGGCAGGUGGAUCCUAACGCCCAGCCUGAAAACAAACUUUUACUGUGGAAACCCCACUGGUACUAGGAACUGCCUGAAGAGGACCAAGUUGUUGGUUGAUCGUUUACUUACUUAUUUUUGCCUGCCAGGGUCUCACACUUAAGCAACUACAAUGCUACUGGAAGACUUUUUGAUAUAUAUAUAUAUAUAUAUUUUUUUUUUAUUUAUUAAAAAAGAUAGGGGAGAGAGAGAGAGAGAUUACUCUAGGAUAUGCACUACUAGGGAUCAAACUCAGGACCUCAGACUCAAGAGUCCAAUACUUUAUCCAAUGUGCCACCUUCCAGAUCAUUCCUGGUGGGUCUUUAAACUUUGUUUUUUUAUGCUACCAAAAUAGUUAUUGCUAGCUAUCAUUUUAAAAACAGAAUGGAGAAAAAUUGAGAGGGAAGGGGGAGAUAGGGAGAGAGACAGAGAAACAUCUGCAGCCCUGUUUCACUGCUCAUGAAGCUUCCUCCCCACAGGUGGGGAGUGGGGGCUUGAACCUGGGUCCUUGUACACGUAGUUAUAUCUUUAUCUUUCUUUCCUUCUGUCUUUAUUUCUUCCUUUCUUCCCUUUCCCUCUCUGCUUCCUUCCCACUCUUCCUUUCUUUCAUUAACCUAGAGAGAAAGAAGAGAGCCACCACUCCAUCAUUCAUGGAGCUUCCUGACACUGUUCCUGAUGCUCCCAUGUGGUACCAGGGGAUCGAUCCUCAAGCAUGAGCAAGUGUGCGCUCUACUGACUGAGCUAUCUCCCCAUACAAGGCUGUUGUUGUCAAUCUCAGACUGUGUCUUCCGGACCCCAGCCUCCCCGGAAAUGCAGUCGGUCAGUGUGUGAAGUCCCCGCCCCAGUUUCACAUCCUAGAGUCACAGCGCAGUCCACACUGUCCCCAACUCCCUCCCCUGUUGGAGAAG